AGUGAACGCUGGCGGUAGGCCUAACACAUGCAAGUCGAACGGCAGCACAGUAAGAGCUUGCUCUUACGGGUGGCGAGUGGCGGACGGGUGAGGAAUACAUCGGAAUCUACUUUUUCGUGGGGGAUAACGUAGGGAAACUUACGCUAAUACCGCAUACGCCCUACGGGUGAAAGCAGGGGAUCUUCGGACCUUGCGCGAUUGAAUGAGCCGAUGUCGGAUUAGCUAGUUGGCGGGGUAAAGGCCCACCAAGGCGACGAUCCGUAGCUGGUCUGAGAGGAUGGUCAGCCACACUGGAACUGAGACACGGUCCAGACUCCUACGGGAGGCAGCAGUGGGGAAUAUUGGACAAUGGGCGCAAGCCUGAUCCAGCCAUACCGCGUGGGUGAAGAAGGCCUUCGGGUUGUAAAGCCCUUUUGUUGGGAAAGAAAAGCAGCAGGUUAAUACCCCGCUGUUCUGACGGUACCCAAAGAAUAAGCACCGGCUAACUUCGUG
rnacentral:rRNA from 1 species